AUGUAACACAUUGUGCUUCACUGCAAAUUUAACAUUAUCCUGGAUUUAUUUCUUUUUUUGUUUGUUUACAGAGAAACCUACUGCAGGUACCAGACCUCCAUGAUUUCAAAAGCGAGGGCAGUGUGAGCAUCUGAGUCUGGUUCCCAUUUGUUUUGCUUGGAAUGUGUUGGGCUGUCUUGAAUGUCUUCCAUCGUUAUAUGGACGGUCAGGCCUCUAUAGAAGUCUAUUUCUGUCAGUGCAGUGAGCAUCCUGCAGGAAGGGUGACAUAUCCUGAAGCAAUUUAACAAAGCAGCUUGCCAUUUCGUGCAGUAGAGGUUCUGUCAUGUGAUAUUACUCCACGCAGAG
rnacentral:lncRNA from 1 species